rnacentral:rRNA from 1 species
UUAAAUUUUAUUUAUUAAUUUUUUAUAUUGUUUAAUUUUAUUUAAUAAAAAUAAUUUUUUUAAUUUUUGUUAUAGUAUUUUUUAAAGAAAAAAUAAUUUUAAUAAUAGUUUAUUAGUAUUGUAAAAGAAAAUUGAAAUAAUUUGAAAAAUUUUUAUUUUAAAAGAAAAUUUAAUUUAUUGUACCUUGUGUAUCAGGGUUUAUUAAUUAAUUAAUUAUUAUAUUAAUUUUUCUCGAAUUUUAAAGAUUUAAUUAUAUAUGAAAGUUACUGUAGCAUAAUUAUUUUAAAUAUAUAAUUAGAAAUGAAAUGUUAAUCGUUUUAAAAUAUAUCUAGUUUUUUAAGAAAUAAAUUUAAUUUAGAUUUAUAAAUUAAAAAUUUUAUUUUUUUUAAUAUUUUUAUUUUAUAAAAUUAAUAUUUUAAGGGAUUAGCUUUAAAAUAAAUUUUUAAAUUUAAAAUAAAAUAUUUAAAUAAAUGUAAGCUUAAAAAUAGUUAUCAUUAAUAAAUUUGUUAUAAUUUAUUUUAAAUUUUUUAUUAUUUAUUGUUAAAUUAAAUUAUUUAUUAAAAUAUAAAUUUUAAUUAUAUAAAUUUAUUAAUUAUGAUAAAAUUAGUAUAUUAAAUUUAUUUGAAUUAUUUUAAUUGGAAGGUUUAAAUAAGGAAUUCGGCAAAUUAUAAUAUAUUCACCUGUUUAUCAAAAACAUGUCUUUUUGAAUUUAAUUUAAAGUCUAACCUGCCCACUGAUUAUAUUGAAGGGCCGCAGUAUUUUGACUGUGCGAAGGUAGCAUAAUCAAUAGUCUUUUAAUUGGAGGCUUGUAUGAAUGGUUGAAUGAGAUAUAUACUGUCUUUUUUAAAUUUUUAUAGAAUUUUAUUUUUUAAUUAAAAAGUUAAAAUAUAAUUAAAGGACGAGAAGACCCUAUAGAUCUUUAUUUUUUUUAGUUAUAAGUUAAAAAGAAUAUUUAAAUUUAUAAUUUAAUAAAAAAUUUUACUGGGGUGGUAUUAAAAUUUAAAUAACUUUUAUUAUUUAUUUACAUUAAUAUAUGAAUAAUUGAUCCAAUUUUAUUGAUUAAAAAUUUAAGUUACCUUAGGGAUAACAGCGUAAUUUUUUUUUAGAGUUCAUAUCGACAAAAAAGAUUGCGACCUCGAUGUUGGAUUAAGAGUUAUUUUUAGGUGUAGAAGUUUAAAGUUUAGGUCUGUUCGACCUUUGAAUUCUUACAUGAUCUGAGUUCAAACCGGCGUAAGCCAGGUUGGUUUCUAUCCUUAAUAAAAUUAUUAUAUUAUAGUACGAAAGGACCUAAUAUAAAAAAUAUAGAUUUUAAAGUUAUGAAUAAUAUUAAUAUUUAAUAA